AUCUUAAAAUCUCAUUCUCGAAAUGGGUAAACAAGUCUCAAUUCUAUCGCUCUUUCUUCUCUGCCUCUUCUUGGCUUCUCAGGAGAUAAGGGUGACUGAAGCUGUCUACUGCUCAAAAAAAAGCACCACGUUUACUAAGGUUUGCCAUGAUGAUGACUUAUCAAGGGGUUUAUGCUCCACCGCUUGUCAGCAAGAAAACGAGGCAUACUUAUUUGGUGAUUGCGAAAUCUUAGAUUGUAUCUGCAAAUAUAGAUGCUAGUAGAAUUGAACUUAGAUUUUGUUGCCAAUAUUAGGCAUCAAAAUUUAUGUAUUUUGAUAUAAAUGUUGUCAAUAAUAAUAUCGAAAUGGAUACUUAAGUUUGGAUUUUCGACA